ACGGUCCAAACUCCUACGGGAGGCAGCAGUGGGGAAUAUUGCACAAUGGGGGAAACCCUGAUGCAGCGACGCCGCGUGAGCGAUGAAGGCUUUCGAGUCGUAAAGCUCUGUCCUAUGGGAAGAUAAUGACGGUACCAUAGAAGAAAGCCCCGGCUAAUUACGUGCCAGCAGCCGCGGUAAUACGUAAGGGGCGAGCGUUGUCCGGAAUUAUUGGGCGUAAAGAGUGCGUAGGCGGCAAAUUAAGUCAGAUGUGAAAACUAAGGGCUCAACCCAUAGAUUGCAUCUGAAACUGAUAUGCUUGAGUCAAGGAGAGGAAAGUGGAAUUCCUAGUGUAGCGGUGGAAUGCGUAGAUAUUAGGAGGAAUACCGGUGGCGAAGGCGACUUUCUGGACUUGAACUGACGCUGAGGCACGAAAGCGUGGGGAGCAAACAGGAUUAGAUACCCUGGUAGUCCACGCCGUAAACGAUGAGUGCUAGGUGU
rnacentral:rRNA from 1 species